rnacentral:tRNA from 1 species
GGUCCCGUAGCUUAGUUGGUUAGAGUGCUGAUCUUAUGAGCCAGAGGUUGCGAGUAUGAGCGUGGCCGGGACCA